rnacentral:rRNA from 1 species
UACGGGGGGGGCAAGCGUUGUCCGGAUUUAUUGGGCGUAAAGAGCUCGUAGGCGGUUUGUCGCGUCGGCCGUGAAAUCUCCACGCUUAACGUGGAGCGUGCGGUCGAUACGGGCAGACUUGAGUUCGGUAGGGGAGACUGGAAUUCCUGGUGUAGCGGUGAAAUGCGCAGAUAUCGGGAGGAACACCCGUGGCGAAGGCGGCACUCUGGGACGGUACUGACGCUGAGACGCGAAAGCGUGGGGAGCAAACAGG